rnacentral:rRNA from 1 species
CCUAACACAUGCAAGUCGAACGGUAACAGGAAACAGCUUGCUGUUUCGCUGACGAGUGGCGGACGGGUGAGUAAUGUCUGGGAAACUGCCUGAUGGAGGGGGAUAACUACUGGAAACGGUAGCUAAUACCGCAUAACGUCGCAAGACCAAAGAGGGGGACCCUCGGGCCUCUUGCCAUCGGAUGUGCCCAGAUGGGAUUAGCUUGUUGGUGGGGUAACGGCUCACCAAGGCGACGAUCCCUAGCUGGUCUGAGAGGAUGACCAGCCACACUGGAACUGAGACACGGUCCAGACUCCUACGGGAGGCAGCAGUGGGGAAUAUUGCACAAUGGGCGCAAGCCUGAUGCAGCCAUGCCGCGUGUAUGAAGAAGGCCUUCGGGUUGUAAAGUACUUUCAGCGGGGAGGAAGGGAGUAAAGUUAAUACCUUUGCUCAUUGACGUUACCCGCAGAAGAAGCACCGGCUAACUCCGUGCCAGCAGCCGCGGUAAUACGGAGGGUGCAAGCGUUAAUCGGAAUUACUGGGCGUAAAGCGCACGCAGGCGGUUUGUUAAGUCGGAUGUGAAAUCCCCGGGCUCAACCUGGGAACUGCAUCUGAUACUGGCAAGCUUGAGUCUCGUAGAGGGGGGUAGAAUUUCAGGUGUAGCGGUGAAAUGCGUAGAGAUCUGGAGGAAUACCGGUGGCGAAGGCGGCCCCCUGGACGAAGACUGACGCUCAGGUG